rnacentral:rRNA from 1 species
GAUGAACGCUGGCGGCGUGCCUAAUACAUGCAAGUCGAGCGAACAGACGAGGAGCUUGCUCCUCUGACGUUAGCGGCGGACGGGUGAGUAACACGUGGAUAACCUACCUAUAAGACUGGGAUAACUUCGGGAAACCGGAGCUAAUACCGGAUAAUAUAUUGAACCGCAUGGUUCAAUAGUGAAAGACGGUUUUGCUGUCACUUAUAGAUGGAUCCGCGCCGCAUUAGCUAGUUGGUAAGGUAACGGCUUACCAAGGCGACGAUGCGUAGCCGACCUGAGAGGGGGAUCGGCCACACUGGAACUGAGACACGGUCCAGACGCCUACGGGAGGCAGCAGUAGGGAACCUUCCGCAAUGGGCGAAAGCCUGACGGAGCAACGCCGCGUGAGUGAUGAAGGUCUUCGGAUCGUAAAACUCUGUUAUUAGGGAAGAACAAAUGUGUAAGUAACUAUGCACGUCUUGACGGUACCUAAUCAGAAAGCCACGGCUAACUACGUG